rnacentral:ncRNA from 1 species
UAAAAAUCAAUGACGAGAAGAGUAAGAUAAGAUCCCUGUUCUACAGAGAGUCGGUAGUUGGUGAAAGCCGAUGUCCAGGCCUUGUCCGAAGAUCAUCUCUGAGAUGCAAAGCUGAAAUCUAGUAAGCUUUGACGGGUUGUCCGCCGUUACAAUGGACCACGUAUGAUUGUACGUUGACUGAGAGCCGUAAGCUUAAUUUCAUAGGCUGCGGAAUUAGGGUGGUAACGCGAGCACAAACUCGUCCCUAUU